UUUUAUAGGUAUUGCGUAUAGUCUGUGGGCUUUCUGAGAAGAGUUGGGUAUUACGUUUGUCUUGUGUCUGAUAUGGCUCAAAAAAUAACCCUGAUAUUUAAAUGCUUAAUAGCAAUGUGUUUUUCUGACUUGUCUCCUAAUUUAGAAGAUCCACAUUUAGAUUCCACAGCUGCUCUCUCAAGACUUCCUUGCAAUGAACAGAAGCAUCCAGCUGUCCCAGGACUCUAUUGCUUUAAGCAAAGAACAAACUUCUCACCCCAGGAAAGAUAGCCAUCUUGUUACAUGGCCAGAAAAACUUCUCCAGAACUGGUUCAAAAAAAAUCAAGGGAACCACUGAAGUUUGCUGUUGGCACUAUUGCAACCUAUAAAAAGGAAAAUUUCCUGUGAAGUAGUAGAUUUCAAGCAAUGCAGGCAGUGCACAGCAUGAUAUUCCUGGAAUAUCCAUGGGCACAAGUCCCAAGAACUAGUUAGUUUUAAAAUACAACCAACCAUCUUAAGCUCAGCAGGC